rnacentral:lncRNA from 1 species
GUCUGGAUGAUUCUCGUAAAACAAUGUCCGAUCUUGAAAUGAAGUUAAAAUUUAUUUAUACUGCUUAUUUGACAAAAUCUUAUAACUAUGACAAAGGGUCAUUGUUGUUUGUCAUUUGUUUCAUUUCAAAUGGUCUUAAGAAGAAAUUAUAAACAUUUCGCCUGAUCUCACUGAAGCUUACAGCUAAUUUCCUAAUGUAUGUAGAUCAACACUUUAGUUAGUUGCUUGCUUUGUUUGUAUAUUUUGUAUAAUUAUAUUUUGAUAAUGUCCAAUUCAAUUUAAAUAUCAUAUUCAUACAGGUUUACAUAC